rnacentral:rRNA from 1 species
UAGGGAAUCUUCCACAAUGGACGAAAGUCUGAUGGAGCAACGCCGCGUGAGUGGAGAAGGGUUUCGGCUCGUAAAACUCUGUUGUUAAAGAAGAACAUAUCUGAGAGUAACUGUUCAGGUAUUGACGGUAUUUAACCAGAAAGCCACGGCUAACUACGUGCCAG